GAUGGGCCGCUCGCGCAGCCGGAGCUCGUCGCGCUCCAAGCACGCCAAGAGCAGCAAGCACAACAAGAAGCGCAGCCGCUCCCGCUCCCGCUCGCGCGACAAGGAGCGCGUGCGCAAGCGCUCCAAGUCCCGGGAGAGCAAACGCAACCGGCGGCGGGAGUCGCGCUCCCGCUCGCGCUCCACCAACGCGGCCGCGUCCCGGCGGGAGCGCGAGCGCGAGCGCGCCUCGUCGCCCCCCGACCGCAUCGACAUCUUCGGGCGCACGGUGAGCAAGCGCAGCAGCCUGGACGAGAAGCAGAAGCGGGAGGAGGAGGAGAAGAAAGCGGAGUUCGAGCGGCAGCGAAAAAUUCGACAGCAGGAAAUAGAAGAAAAGCUCAUCGAGGAAGAAACAGCGCGAAGAGUGGAAGAACUGGUGGCCAAAAGGGUAGAGGAAGAGCUGGAGAAGAGAAAGGAUGAGAUCGAGCGUGAAGUUCUCCGCAGGGUGGAGGAAGCUAAGCGCAUCAUGGAAAAGCAGUUGCUCGAAGAGCUCGAGCGACAGAGACAAGCUGAGCUUGCCGCACAGAAAGCUAGAGAGGUAACGCUCGGUCGUUUGGGAAGUAGAGACAGUCCAUGGCAAAACUUUCAGUGUCGGGUGUGCCUCCUGCUCGGCUCAGAGAGAGGGGAUGCAGACGAGUUCCUGUCUCAUCUAAACGUACAGUGCUGCGAAAGAUGAUUUUUUUAGUCUAUUCAGAAGUGCUGGCUGAUACUUAAAAGUUACUUUCAUAAAACUUAUUCAAGGAUAACUUGAUUGAAUGGAACUGGCUUACAUAUUUGAGAAGUGUUUGAAACUUUUGCCAUGGCUGCAGGACUUACAUUCUUCUCUGGGAGGGCGGGGAGACGGAGUGGUGAAGGGAAAGGUUACAAACCCACCUGUGGUUCUGUGUUCUUCUCUGUUUAUCGCUGACUAGACUGAGAGAGCUUCUCGCCUUCAGUCAGAUGGAGGGGAGCAGGGCCAAUGAGUGACAGCGCCUGCUUCUCAUAAAUAGGUGUUCUCUUCUCCUUCCUUCUCUUACCCUCAUCCCUCCCUAAACCCUUCUCAGCACAUUGUAGCAUUCUGAUCAUAAGGCCCUCCAUGUUAAAUUCUAAUGUGCUUCAAGGAGUCUUAAAGAACAAUGUCCAGAUUAUUCAUCCUUUCCCCCCUUUUUCUUUUUCCUUUUUCUUUUUUUAGUACCUACUAACAACUCCUUUUUUCCUCUAGAGAGUAAUGAAGGAACAGGUUGUCCUUGUCUGGAGUCGAGCUAAACACAUGAUUUGUUUUAUCAGCAGCCGGAGCAGAAGUUGAAAAUAUCUUUCUGUGAGACAGUAAUUUGCUACUGAAGCUUUAUGGCUUGUUUGCACUCAUUACUCCUGGACCCUAUGACUUGGUGAAAGUCACUGAAACACUGGAGGCAAAGUGCUUCCAGCACUGAGUGUCCAUCAGUACACUGGUGUAAUGACUGAAUCACAGUGGUGUGGCCAUAGGAGAUCUGUAGUUACGCUCUCGUGAACUAAAACAUUAGGCUUAAAAACAAACACAUGACUUCUUGUCAUUUUUCAUCUUGUCAUUAUAGUGGACAAGCUGACAUCGUAUUAGAUCUGGCUUUCUAGUAAGCUUUGCUUGUCAAAUGCAUUUCCCCUGACCUUUCUGAGCUACAUACACCUGUCUGCAGUUAAUUUCAGACUGUAAAAUUGAAUGUAUGCUAUUUUUAUUUAUAUCUGUGCUUUCAGUAAUGAAGAUAUUUUUGGAGUAAAUUGUGCUGUCUUGUAGCGAGUUAUUAAUCAUAGCAAGAUUUUUUUCUCUUCAUGUGCUUUUUGUUUCAUAUUAACUUUUUUUUUUUUUUUUAACACGGACACAACCCUUUGGCAGUCUUUCCAAUACUAAAAGUCAUUUGAGUAUGUAUGCUGUGAUCUGAGCACUGCCCAAAUCAUCAGGCAGUCUUCAUAGAGCUUGCAUUUUACAAUUUAUGAAAUUUUCCAAGAACAGAUAAAUGACAGAAUUUUUACUUCCUGACUGUGCAUCCCCCGGAUUCCUGAAUUUCAGUUCAGACUGUAGAUGACAAUCUAAGCUGCCUUUAGACAUUGUCAACAUCUGAAUGUUCAGUCCAUUUCCCCAUGGAAGAAGCCCUUAGCUCCAUGAAGUAUGGAUUACCAUUUGUACUUUUCACUAACAGUAAAUGUAUUUUUCUUAUUAAUUGUUUGCCUUAGGAAUGAUGAAUUACAUUUUUUUGUUCCUUCUUACCAUAAACAUCUGCAUUCCUCAGCUCAGCCUUCCUUGUAUGUUGUUCUUAUAAAUGGUUGAGCUGCUGAUGCAGGUAUUGCCAAGCUAACAGUACAAAUCAUUUUAAAGAGGAAGCUGGCGCGUAUGGCAGCCGAGGAGCACACUCUGCAGGACACUGGACAAGACAGAGGAAGAACGUGCAAAACGUGAAGAGCUCGAGAGGAUACUGGAAGAGAAUAACCGAAAAAUCGCAGAAGCACAGGCCAAACU